ensembl:lncRNA
ACAACAAAUAUUAUCUGAAAGUCGGGUUAUUGUUGUUUAUCAGCACAAUACAAAAAGAUUAAUGUUAGAAAUAUUCCAGUUAAGAAUAUCAUGAUUUAUGUAAAUUUACCUCAAUAAUAUGAAUGUUCAGGUUAAGAUUGUACAGUGAUAUUUAUUAUGCAAGUUUAGCUGAUUAAAGUUUAUGACUCUGCACUAAAAUAUUAUUUAAAUUGACAUUAUAAUAUUUAGGGUCAGACCCUACAGUAUUGAGAUUAAGAAAUCAAAUAUUCUAUAAAAUGUAAAUACACUGAACUCAUUUGGAUAUAUUUAAGUGAGACUCUACAAUAUUAUUUGACACAAAUCUAUCUAAAUCAAAAUUUUAAUUAUCUUUACUCCAAACAUUUACUGGACUGAUUUAAAUAUUAAAAUCACUCCUUUCUAAUCCUCUGCUGUACGUUCAAACCUGAGGCCUGAAAUAGAAACACACAAGUAUCUGAUUGAAGGAACUUCUGCAGAGUCCUGGUUCCAGAACAUGAUGAUAGAAUUAUAGACAAACUUUAACAAAAGCUGCCUGAGAGUUUACAGGUUUUUAUGUUGGAUUUCUUCAGUAAUUUAAUGAUAGUUAUCAGCAAAAAUCAAGUGUUCAUUUGAUGAACUUCAUUUCCUAAAACAUCCAGAAUUGGAGCUCAUAUCUUUGGCUGCUGUAAAGUUUCUGCUCCUUCAAAGUUCACAACACAAUGAAUGAAUUCCUAAAACACUCUCAAUGCUGGAGAGCGUUUGUGAUGCUGAAGCAGUGACCAGUUUUUCUGUUUCUUCUCUGGAGAUGCACAAUGAGGGACGUCUGCAGAGACUGAGAAAGAGUCUCACCACAUCCUGACAUGAGGAAAAAGACUUUAUUGAAGACUACAAUGAGAAAAACUAUUAGACAGCAGAUGGCUGCAUUCAAGGCUACAGGAGGAGUCCUACGAGGACGAGCCGGUCCACCUGAUGGAGGCCAGUCGCUGCGGUUCAAAGCCAACACCGACUACGUGGACUUCUACUGGACCACACGGAGGCCUUCAAACCAGACCAACAAGUUCACAGACUCCCCGACUCGUGGGUCUGAGGACGCCGCCGAGCCUCGGUCCAGCCGGCCUCCUGUCUGUGGGUGUUUGAGUGCUGAGAGGUUUGUGGAUGCAUGUGAACGUGUCUGUGUUGAAACAGCAGCUUUGGACUCACUAACGCCAGGAAAAACCAAGCGCUCC